CUCUUCUUUCUUCUUCUUGCCGAGAAUCACCAUUGGAGCUCCACCAUUUUCCUUCACCCAAGCUCCAUUUCUCACACAAUUACACCAUAAAACCCUACCUUGUCUUCACUAAAAUUUCUCCUCACACCUUAAAUCAUCUCUAGGCAGCAAUUUGAAGAAGAAAUAAAGGAGAUUUAUAGCUCAAGUUAGCCCCCAAAAGAGGUACUGAAGAUAAAGCCCAAUGAAUAUUAAACAGAGAUUUUGAAGUUCUGAUCUGCAAAAGUGUCAGAAGAGUCAAGGUUGUCACUUCCUCAGCAAUGCAUGUAGAUAGGGCCCAUAUAAGUUAUUUUAUGUAUUUUGUAUAUUAUGUAAAUUAUGAACUUAUGUAAUUAGUUUAUAAAUCAUGUAAAUUUAUGUAA